GAUCCAUGCCAUUUCGGCCUUUCAACCGGUCCAUCCAUGAGGCACCAGUCCGCCUCCAAGGCUCCAACCAAGCUCCGAGGCCGUUCCCCUAAAAAAAAAGAAGAAGCUCCGAGGCCGUCCGCCGCCUGGCUCCAGUCCAGCCCGCGAUCUCUUCUCCGUUCGGCCCAUGCGGAACACCACCACUUCCACGGCGUUCUCACACUCGAAUCGUUCCCAAACGCGGCCGCCCACGGCCAAGACGGCUAUGGGGCCCCCUCGCCCCUGGGCGAAGGGGAAGGGGAGGGAGGCCGGCCGUCCGCUUCUUCUCCCGCCCCUCUCAUCGGCGCCCGUUCAACUCUCCCGCGGCUCGAUCAGAUUCGGUUCGGAGGAGAUGAAGCCACUACUCCUCGUCCAUCUCCGCGGCUGCGCGUCAGCCACCAACUAGGGUACUAGCGACUCUUACCCGGAUAGUGAUUGAAGACAUGGAUGUGACUGAAUGAUUAUUUUGUUUUUGAACAAUCUUCCAUCCAUCAUGUCCAGCUUGCACCAUAUCAUGUCCAACACUAUUUAUGUUAGUAGUCAAAUUGGUACAGGACAUGCGAAGAAUCCUACACUGGCAUCUUCUGUUUGAGUAGUUGCCUGGCUCUUAUGAACAAUUGUGCACUCGUGCAUAUCAACCCAUGAGGCCCAACUUGGUGAGAAACUGAGAAUCUUCCUAUUUUGGGCUAUGAGAAGUCUAUGGUACAAAGGAGAGGGAAAUGAAGGUGGUGAUAAUUGUUCUGUAUAGGAAAGUGGGCCCAUAGCAAUGUUAACUAUGGGAGAUGGGAUGAAAGGGUUGGUUAUGAGGCCAUGUGCAACGGAGGGCACAAGUGGGGAACAGGGAUUGCACGGGAUAACAUGGGAGCCAUGUCUCUCCAUGUUGCCUAGUGUGUAUUUGUGUAUAGCUUUCAUUCUUGGCUGGACUCCUCUGGCAAGGGAAUAGCCAACACCAACUCAUAAUUCCCCCACUUCGGCUUUACAUCUCUUACCCUUUCCCUGCCUCUACUAGCAACCAGAUGAAAUAGAAGCUUUACUAUUUCCUCACUUUCAUUUUACUUUUCCAGAUCCCAUGCCAAUUGGUGGCCAUCCUUGCAGCAAUGUGCAAGAGAAUUUUUUUUCUGAGGACAGUGUGUAAGAGAAUUCGUUCUAUCAGAUGUGAUGCUUUGUUGAGUUAGGGUCUUCAAAGUGAACAAAAUUGAUUCCUCGAAAGCUACUAAAUUGUCAGUUGACUCAGCCUUGAGCUUGAAGUGUGGCGUCCGUCUUGCCAUUCCAUUCUUGCCUACUGAACCUCUGAGUUGCAGGCCCCUUGUCAUUGAGGGAUGAUUGUUUAUCUUGGCAGAAACUUUUACUAAUGGUGUAAAUUUUUUUACACCGUUCAAAUGGAAUGGAUAUCAGAAAGAGCUAUGCAAUAGAUCCUUGGUGCGCUCCCUGAAUCAUGUGGCAAGACAACCCGAGCAGGCGCACCAGCAAUUUUCACCUUCCUACUCUACCUGUAACUGAGCACAUUAUGGUGAAGUGGAUUGGUGAUUGGCAAUUGUGUUGGCCUGUCUUUCUGCUGCUCUGUAAUAAGUAAUAACAAUAACACUCAAGUAUGUGCUUUAGGUGCUAGCACCUUUUGUUGAACAAAACUACAGGGAGAAGUAUUUGCUUUAUAACCAUAAAUGCAACAGUACAGGCAAAUGUUGGCACUUCAAGCAAGUGAGAAGGAAGCUGGCAAUCCUAAAUGGCUAAUUUUAUGGGGAAGUCUUUAUAUAAAUAUGGCUAAUUUUGCCACGGUGAGAAGCAAUUUGGAGAGUAAAGCCAAUUUCUAAGUUGGGAGAUUGGUUUGGUCCAGCUCAGCUCAGAUGUACUUUCAUCAGUUUUUGGUUAAAUCCCAGCCUAGUGCCAGGCUGCCCAGCUCAUCAGUUUCCUCACCGCCGAGUGGCAUCAGUUAUAGGAAUCUCGAGGGGCAACCAAUUUUGCCGGCUCUCUUUCAUGGUGGCCGUUGAAGUAUUGUUGUCAACACUUGGUCCUAACUUCACUUGUUGGGUAGGUGCUACUCAAAAGUUUAAUGGACUACACCAUAUAACUUUGUACAAAUGCACACCGCACAAUCGGUUAUGGAGUGUCAACAGUUGGCAAAGAUUAACAUGUCGAUCCAAUGACAGCUCCCCAUCCUGGACACUCAACAAUCUUGGAUUUUUGCUGCAACAGAAAAUGGUCCUGCUCCCGGCCAUAACCAGGAUAAUGCCAGUUCAUGCUUUUCUCUGAAGAAAAAGGCUUCAUUUUUUCUCCAACACGGCGGUGCUAAUCUGGGGUUAAUAACUACACGCAUGGUGUAGGUUGGUUCAUCUGCGGUUUAGUUUGGCUUUUAUCGUAGACAGGGAGGGAAUCCAAAUCCAGGCUCUGAUCUGCUAGGAUCGAUGCUGUUUCUUCAGGGGCAAGUGAAGUCCAUGAUGAUUCUACCAGCUUCAGACUCACGCCUUGGCAUGUGCUCCGAUCGGAGGUAUGCAAAAUUUCUGGCUAGCUUAACUAGGCUGGUGAUCUAGUGGUCCAGAUGUACAAACUAACUAGAUUUGUGGGUUAUCUUGCAAGGAAGGAUGGAUCUGUUUAAUUAGUUGCUUCCAAGCUUGAAGACGACAAAGGUAAAAAAAAAAAAAAAGAAAAAAGAAAAGAGGAAGAUGUUUAGAACUUUAUGGUCUCCAGCAACACGGGACCAUGAGGUGUGAUUUUUCGCUGGACCAUAAUCUCGUAAUGAUGAUAUAUAGGUAGGGGCCAUCUUGAUAUCCGUCUAUACAUCUAUCUGUUAACAUCUUAAUUAAUUAGCUAUGAAGUACGGCUAUAUUCUAAAAUCACAUGACUUCUCAGCAUCUUAAUGAAUAUUAUAUGCCAAACAGUUCAAUUGAACUUGAACUAUUACAACAAGUUCCA